CUGCGCCUAUCUUUUUGGAAUGUUUUGUAAACGACCUGUACACCCAAGGACAGUCCUUCAGGGAGGCUCACCCCCGGCUGUAGGACGGUGCUGGCCCUUUGAAGGUGGGCGGGGGCAUUUAUUCAUCACCCUGUCACACCCAGUCUACAUCAGCCAUGUGACACUAGGUCACAUUUCAAAGAACUUGUCCCCAACUGGCAUCAUUCCUAGCGCCCCAAAGACGUUUUCUGUCUAUGGCAUGAAUACUUUAGAUGACAAAGGAACCUAUCUAGGAACCUCUCUG